rnacentral:lncRNA from 1 species
CUGGUUUGGUUCUCACUGAGUAAUUUCCCCAAAUUACUCACCCCUCUCUUUUAAAUCCAUAUUUCGGGUGAGUGUGAUGAAUGUGAUUGUGAUGAUGUCUGGGAGCAACUAGACGAGUAGCUCUAGUGUGGUUUGCCUUCAGAGAUGGAGGAAGAUUUUUAUCGCUUUAAGAACUACUUUUCGUAUUUACUUUUAAGAUAUUGUUUUCUGCUCCAUUUCGGAUUUAUUCAAGUUAUUCAUUUCUAUUGUAAGACUCGACUUGGUCCGAUUUCAGAUCAGACUUAAGGAUUAUUCAGGAAUUAUUGGUUAGGUUAGAUAAUACUUCCGGUAUAAUCUGGUUUCCUUUGGAACCCAGUACCGGGGUGUUACAAGAGGGACUGAAUAUUGUGAAGCUGUGUGACUGGGAGGUGUGGCCUUGUGUGAUAGGCGGGUUGGAGACAUCAUUGCAUGCUAGUUGUUUGUGCAUCGCUAGGAUGCUUCAGUGCUGCUUGUUGGGUAGAUUCUGGACAUGUUGGUGGAAAAUAAAUGAGUGGGAAGGGAGUCUGGUUUGGUUCUCACUGAGUAAUUUCCCCAAAUUACUCACCCCUCUCCUUUAAAUCCAUAUUUCAGGUGAGUGUGAUGAAUGUGAUUGUGAUGAUGUCUGGGAGGAACUAGACGAGUAGCUCUAGUGUGGUGUACUUUUAGAGAUGGAGGAAGAUUUUUAUCGCUUUAAGAACUUUUUUUUGUAUUUUCUUUUAAGAUAUUGUUUUCUGAUUAUUUUCGGAUUUAUUCAAGUUAUUCAUUUCUAUUGUAAGACUGGAUUUGGUUGAUUUGGAAUAAGAUUUAAGGUUUAUUCAGGAAUUAUUGGUUAGGUUAGAUAAUACAGCCGGUUUAGUCGGGUUUCCUUUGGAAC